AUUGAACGCUGGCGGCAGGCCUAACACAUGCAAGUCGAACGAGUGGCGGACGGGUGCGUAAUGUCUGGGAAACUGCCUGAUGGCGGGGGAUAACUACUGGAAACGGUAGCUAAUACCGCAUACCAUCAGAUGUGCCCAGAUGGGAUUAGCUAGUGGGUGGGGUAACGGCUCACCAAGGCGACGAUCCCUAGCUGGUCUGAGAGGAUGACCAGCCGGACUGGAACUGAGACACGGUCAAGAGUCCGACGGGAGGUAGCAGGGGGGAAUAUUGCAAAAUGGGCGAAAGCCUGAUGCAGCACUGCCGCGUGUAUGAGGAGGGCGUACGGGUUGAAAAGGACUUUCAGCGGGGAGGCGUUACCCGCAGAAGAUGCACCGGCUAACUCCGUGCCAGCCGCCGCGGUAAUAC
rnacentral:rRNA from 1 species